CUAUACACUGUUCACGCUUUAGCUGAGCCUUCCCUUCGACAUACUUUACCACCUCGAGCAGGGCCAAACAUUUACGUUCCAAAGCCCUGACUUCAUUUUUUAGCUGUUGUUGGCGAAGGUUGAACUCUUCAGCCGAUGAAGACAGAUCUUUGAUACGUUCAGAACUUGUGCCCAAUUCCUGCUCAAGGACCUCCACCCGGGCUAGGGCACUUUCCCUCUGAGCCCUCGCCUCAUUCAGAUGAGCUUGAAGCCCUUCAAAAU
rnacentral:lncRNA from 1 species